rnacentral:tRNA from 1 species
UCUAAUGUGGCAGAUUAGUGCGGUGGAUUUAAGCCCCAAAUAUAAGGUUUAUGCUUUCUUUAGAA